CAACAAGAUCGAAGUUACCCUGAGAAAAAAAAAAAUGGUAAUAAAUCAUCCAUAUAUUUGACUAAGAGCUAGACAAUAAAAAGUGAUAGAUUUCCUUCUAAGCCAACAAUGACAGACUUAGAAAAAAGAGCCAGGACAGGGGUCGGUUUGGACCUUUCUAAAAUUUUCGGAUAUGAUUUGCAAACGUAACCAAAAGGAAAACACUUUCUCCUCUACCCUUUGAAAAA